rnacentral:rRNA from 1 species
GGAGCGAGACUGUGAAGUGGAGCAAAUCUCAAAAAAUUAGUCUCAGUUCGGAUUGCAGGCUGCAACUCGCCUGCAUGAAGUCGGAAUUGCUAGUAAUCGCGGAUCAGCAUGCCGCGGUGAAUACGUUCCCGGGCCUUGUACACACCGCCCGUCACACCAUGAGAGUCGGGAACACCCGAAGUCCGUAGCCUGACCGCAAGGGGGCGCGGCCGAAGGUGGGUUCGAUAAUUGGGGUGAAGUCGUAACAAGGUAAC